rnacentral:lncRNA from 1 species
GCCGGGUGUGGUGGUGCACGCCUGUAGUCCCAGCUACUUGGGAGGCUGAGGCAGGAGAAUUGUUUGAACCCGGCAGGCGGAGGUUGCAGUGAGCCGAGAUCUCUCCGCUGCACUCCAGCCUGGCAACAGAGCAAGACUCCGUCUCAAAAAUAAAUAAAUAAAUAAAUAAAUAAAUAAAUAAAUGAGUGAACUGGCCCAGGUCAGAAAGAGAGCAGCUCAAAACUCCCAUGCUGAUUGAUCAGUAGUGGGAUCGUGCCUGUGAAUAUCCACUGCACUCCUGCCUAGGUGACAUAGACCCUCUCU